UACCCAAAUCUGUAAGCUGUUUUCAGCAUUGCUAAUGUGCAGGCUGCUGUUUUGUUCUGACAUAGUAUAGGUAGGUCUUGUCAAGAUGAAAGACGACAUUCUGGUGUUGCAAGAGCAUUCUGAGUUGUGGACCACAAUCAGACAGAGAUAUCUUACUUUGGUUUCUGUCCUGAGGAAAUCUCUCCUGGAUUUCAGAUGAAAGACUCGCAUGGAGAGUGGUACGUUGUGCAUUAGGAUCGGCAGAUAUCCUCUGGGAUCUGAACAGUGAAGGACUAUUUGAGAUGUGCACUCUAUGCUUGUCAAAGAGAAGUAAGUGCUGCGAUAAAAAUAGAAUAUUCAAACUCCCCUCAGCCUGGGUAGAAGGAGGACUUCACCUUUAUGCAAGAAGACCUGCUUAAUCUGAAAGUUCUCCUAGAAAGGGUUUUAAGGGCAGCCGUCCAUUUCUGUGCAGGAACAGACAUAUGUUAAAGGCUGUCAUGCUGCUGCAGAAGCAAACCAGUGAGCUCAUGGGCUGCCUCUGCCAAUGGUUAAGGUCAGCUACUGGAAAAAAUUACAAGACAGCUAUUACAGCCAGGUAUGAUCCUGCAGAAGGGCCUUCAUGGAGAACUGUUACUCUUUGCUCAAUUUUGUUCAAGUCAGUGAGACUCUGACCUGGAAAAAUUGCUUCUGAUUCUCAAAACAAGGACAGCAAGGUGUGUGCAGGUCGGUUUGGGGAUUGUGAUUUUUUUUUUUUUGGCCAUUCAAGUUUUUCAGUCAUAAACUGCCUUUUUUGUUGACAAAUGGGGAUCAUUCCUGAAAAUGGUCAGGACAGCUUGUCCAUGUGGUAGAUUUUCUUCUCCUUCCCUACCCUUUAAAGCAUUACAGGAGCUUGAGCAACAAUCUUCCUGGCUGACAUGAAGGGCAGAGGCACCAGUCUGAUACAGAGGACGCAGUGUCACCAUUGCAGCCCAAGGAAUUCUCAACCCUUACCUAAACAUUGUGACACUCUGGUCAGCAGCCUUCACUUGGACACAGACUUGGAUCUAGUUACAAUUUUAACGAGCGGAGCUCAGAAAAGUUAUUAGUGACUGUAGGAAAAAAGCAAGUGAGCAGGCCAUAAAUCAGGCCAUCAGAUGAAUUCAGAACGCACUAAUAAAAUCAGAGCUUCCAAUAAAUUUCAUUUCAGGCAGAGUAGCAACAGUUUCUCAGUCGAGAGUUCAGCACAGAUUAUAAUUUCAGAUGUGUGUCUGGCCAACUCAAUAUGCCUACAAAAAUGUUUGCAAGCAGGCAGCAAUGGCUGGUCCAGAGUCAGGCCCUCACACCAGCAGAACUUUAGUAGGAUUGAAUAAAAAGGAGGCUGAAAGUCACCUACAGACCCUCACUGCUCCCCAAGAACACCCAUGUCAGCGUGUGGCUGCAAGGGAAACGAAGGACUGGUGAGUGUCACCUCCACCUCCGCAAUUCCCGUGCGGCUGAUGAGCGGCUGGAUGGCUCCGUGCCUUCCUCACUGAACUACUGAAGCCAAUAAUGAACAUAAAUACUUACAUAACAU